UAUGAUUGAAAAGAUCAAAGAUUAUUUCUUCAAAGGUUUUAGCUACAGACUCAUACAUUAUUUGAUCCAAAGAAGAUUUAAUUGUAAUAUAAGUUACAAUUGUCUGAAGAGGAGGAUAAUUCCCAGGUUAGGAUUACGGCGGAGACAUGUAGACAUCAAUUUAGACGUACUUUUUAGAACUGCACAGACAGAAGUACAGAAUGGAUGUUCUGGAUCUGAAAACUUGAGAAGGACUUUGAAAAUGAAAUAUCAUUUGAAUAUCACAAGAUGUAUUUCAAGAGAAAUUGUGAGGAUUUUAGAUGAAGAUGGUGUAAAAAGGAGAAAACAGAGAAGGCUGAGAAGGAGACAGUACUUCAGUAAGGUAUGAAGGUGAAAUAAAUGGA